rfam:Desulfobacteraceae bacterium 4484_190.1 ex4484_190.1_scaffold_37011, whole genome shotgun sequence.
AUCGGUGUCACACCAUCUUCAAUUUUGGCAUAAGCAAGCCUGUGAAACGAUAGCCUGUGUUGUCUGGACACCCAGACUUCCAGUCGAGGUAUCAAAUGAUGUCUUGGCUCAAUAACAACGUGGUUCCCAUGAGGAACCCAUAACAAAGGAGUAGAAUAAGAUGGCUGAAGGUACAGUAAAGUGGUUUAACGAUUCAAAAGGUUUUGGUUUUAUUGAGCAGGAUAGCGGCAAGGAUGUAUUCGUGCAUCAUUCCGCAAUUCAGGCCCAGGGCUUCAAAUCCCUGCAGGAAGGCGCGCGGGUGACCUUCGAUGUGGUCGACGGCGCCAAAGGACCGGCAGCAGAGAAUGUUGUCCAACAGUAAGAACUGAUAUCGAUUAUUGCAAAGAUCCCGCACUCCGCGGGAUCUUUUUU